GGGCGGGUGGCGGAACUGGCAGACGCGCACGGCUCAGGACCGUGUGGCCGAAAGGCCUUAUGGGUUCGACUCCCUUCCCGCCCA
rnacentral:tRNA from 1 species